AAUUCAUCAAACCCUAACCAUCCCAAGGCUGCUGAAAUCAUGGGAAUACAUACAUAUAAAUUUCAUUCUAUUUUCUUACAAUUUCAACUUAUAUCAUUAAGCUUCAUCUUCAUCCUUGAACAAAACCAAGAGCACAAGUUGUACUCUUGACCAAACUCAUUGGGGAAAUUGUUUCUCCUCAUUUCCAACCAUUAUCACCUUGCAAAACAACAUACUCUUCCUCCCUAUCUUCUUGGUUGCUAAUUUCUUGAAGAUUUUGGAAGAGUUCUUGGCUAUUGAAGGUGGCUUUGGUCUAGUGCUAGUGUGGAUAAACUAGAGGACUAGCACUUGAGAGUCUUUACUACCCGGACUGAGGUGAAAUUGUGUGAUUCUGUGCCUAGAAACGUUAGUGAUCUCCAAAACCUAAUUCAAGUUAAUUUGGGGAUAAAGUUUCCUAAUGGCAAUUAGGUUAAUUUAGCAAUGAAAACAUAAUUUAGUAUGACUAAAUGAUGUGUUUUUCAAUAGCUAAAAGUGAUUGCAGGAAGCAUGAAACCGAAGCAUGAAACCCUAGCUUAGGAAAAAUUUCAAAUUGCUCAAAUUCUGCACCUUUUGAAAACUUGGUCAUUCAAUUUGUGCAAACUCCUUUCAAUUAGUAUCAAAGCCACCCUAAUUUGCCAUUAGGAACUUAAUACAUGUUAUAGACAGCUUGGGGCCAUGUCAGGUUGCAUAGGGUGUGACUUGAUUACAAGUUGAAUCAAGUGAAAAAUUGAAUCAUAUGCUAUUUACUACAGCAAUUUUGGUUCGGCCAAAAGUUGAGGUAUCUUAUGUGAUUUUAUUUUUUUGGUUGGACUUAAUUAAUGGCCUUGCACAUGAAUAU
rnacentral:misc_RNA from 1 species